rnacentral:rRNA from 1 species
CACGUAGGGCGCAAGCGUUGUCCGGAAUUAUUGGGCGUAAAGGGCUCGUAGGCGGUUUGUCACGUCAGGAGUGAAAACUCGGGGCUUAACCCCGAGCCUGCUUCUGAUACGGGCAGACUAGAGGUAUGCAGGGGAGAACGGAAUUCCUGGUGUAGCGGUGAAAUGCGCAGAUAUCAGGAGGAACACCGGUGGCGAAGGCGGUUCUCUGGGCAUUACCUGACGCUGAGGAGCGAAAGUGUGGGGAGCGAACAGG